CACUGGAUUUAGGCAGUUUGGCCGAACCAGUAUAAAAACAUGCAUUUGAAUUCUCUAUCCCUGCACUUUUAUUUUCAAAGUCGACUUUACUUUUCACAUAGUAAACUAUAUUCCGCUGCAUUUGAAAAAUCAUAUUCCGUGCGUUUCAAGAAAGCUUUUGAAAGAUCAUCCUUUUGUGAAAAAGAUUUUUAAAAGACUCUGAUUUUGUGUUUCAUUAUUCACCCCCCUCUUGGUAUUGAAACUAAGCCAUUCUAUUUUCAACAAUUGGC
rnacentral:lncRNA from 1 species